rnacentral:rRNA from 1 species
GACGAACGCUGGCGGCGUGCUUAACACAUGCAAGUCGAACGGAAAGGCCCUGCUUGUGGGGGGUGCUCGAGUGGCGAACGGGUGAGUAACACGUGAGUAACCUGCCCUUGACUUUGGGAUAACUUCAGGAAACUGGGGAUGAUACCGGAUAGGAGCUCCUGCUGCAUGGUGGUGGUUGGAAAGUUUCGGCGGUUGGGGAUGGACUCGCGGCUUAUCAGCUUGUUGGUGGGGUAGUGGCUUACCAAGGCUUUGACGGGUAGCCGGCCUGAGAGGGUGACCGGCCACAUUGGGACUGAGAUACGGCCCAGACUCCUACGGGAGGCAGCAGUGGGGAAUAUUGCACAAUGGGCGGAAGCCUGAUGCAGCAACGCCGCGUGCGGGAUGACGGCCUUCGGGUUGUAAACCGCUUUCGCCUGUGACGAAGCGUGAGUGACGGUAAUGGGUAAAGAAGCACCGGCUAACUACGUG